rnacentral:lncRNA from 1 species
CCAAAAGGAAUGCCAAGGUCAGCGUCAAAGUUGGCUAGAACGUCAUCAAGAGUAGCAUCACCGAAGAGGAGGAACCCAAAAAUGCUUGUCAUUAUGUACACAGUUGAGCACAAAGCAAGUGAGGUUCGCACAACCCCUUUAAUGUGUGUGGAGUCCUCAAGUUCAUUAUCUAUGCUGUGAACUGCAAAAGAAGUGCUCAAAAUGUCAAUACUAGUAACGCAGCAAAUACCGUAUAAGACAAAAAAUAAAAAAUAAAAUAAAUCACCGCAAGGUUGAGAGUCAAAUCACUGACAGAAGUUUAGUCUAAAGCCACAACAUUGAAGAUUAAGCCCCAGGAAAAUGUCUCAACUCUAUUUCAACCAUAAAAAACUUGAAAGGAUUCGGCUUGCUUACCAUUAUAGUGGCAGAUGAAUGCUGUGACCAGAACAGGGACUACAGUGAAGAGGUUAAUGAGAGAUGUAAAAUCAGUUACGUCGGGCAAUAUUCUUGGCAUUCCUAAUCCUCCACUUAUUAACUUCACAAUUGAAAUCCCGACAGUGAUCACAACAAAUGCAACUGCCAGGGCAACU